GUUGCGAACAUGGUCGACGUUGGUCAAAGUAUAGUAGCUCUUCUUAUCAGCUUAAUAUCCUAUACAAGCUCUAGUUGGACCAAAGACAUUAAAUUUAUUUUUGCAAGUUGGCGGAGUGCUUGAAGCCUGCUGCACCACCCCCGCGGGGCGGCCAGGUAUAGCACUAUUAUCAGGAUCGGCAAACGUAAU